AUGUGAAUGCUUCAUAGAUUUCAAUGAUAAUCUGAGUUACGUUUGAUUGUUUGAUGAUUUCCAACCAUAUGGUUUUUCAUACUCUUUGAGAGAGGGGAUCAUAGUUUUGAUAAUUGAGAUAGAUGGGACUUAGGGAACACACCGUUU